GUCCACGCCGUAAACUAUGAUUACUCGUUCUCGGCGAUACACAGUCGGGGACUAAGCGAAAGUGAUAAGUAAUCCACCUGGGGAGUACGAUCGCAAGGUUGAAACUCAAAGGAAUUGACGGGGGCCCGCACAAGCGGUGGAGCAUGUGGUUUAAUUCGAUGAUACGCGAGGAACCUUACCAGGGCUUAAAUGUAGAAUGACAGGUGUGGAAACAUACCCUUCUUCGGACAAUCUACAAGGUGCUGCAUGGCUGUCGU
rnacentral:rRNA from 1 species